rnacentral:rRNA from 1 species
UACGAAGGGGGCUAGCGUUGCUCGGAAUUACUGGGCGUAAAGGGCUCGUAGGCGGCCAACUAAGUCAGACGUGAAAUCCCUCGGCUUAACCGGGGAACUGCAUCUGAUACUGGAUGGCUUGAGUUCGGGAGAGGGAUGCGGAAUUCCAGGUGUAGCGGUGAAAUGCGUAGAUAUCUGGAGGAACACCGGUGGCGAAGGCGGCAUCCUGGACCGAGAUUGACGCUGAGGCGCGAAAGCCAGGGGAGCAAACGGG